UUUCCAAGCUCUAAGCCCCUUCUCUGAGAGCCCCGGAUGUAUUGUUGUAUCUUUCCAUUCCUGAGUAACAAUAUUUUAAAUCUUUAUAUGCUUGCUCAAAAUGAGUGAGAGAAACUUAGGAACGUGUGUGAGUGAGGUAGGAUGCUAAUGAGUGAGUCUCUCACCUAAUGAGUGAGAGUUGACGUGUCUGGAUCUAUAUGUGGCCCAGAAAGAAGGCCACGUUACAAAGACCCCCACAAGGCCAAAGUGGCUGUCAGCAGGGGGUGCAAAAGGAGACCCUGCCACACCCAGCCACAUAGGGGCAGGGGGCGGGUGUGUCAGCUGUGUCCAUCUUGGGCCCGAUCGUCAGAUGUGCUGAGAACCUGCAGCUUCGGUUGCUCCAAAUGGAGAUCAGGAGCACCUACAGACACAAGACUGCAAGCCCUUUGAUCCAGAGACCGUCUCUGCCUAUGUGAAUGUACAGUGCCUAGCACGAUGGACUUCUGAUCAUCGCUGGGGCUUCUCGGUGCUAUUGUAAUCCAAAGCCCAGUUCUGCAAGGUGACAAGCACCCUGACCUCUGGCUACCAUCACUGGGAGCUGAAGCUGCUAAUCAUCUCACAAGAUCAGUCUAUUAUGAUGGGCAAACCUCAAAGGUCUGAGGGUUCUGCUGAGUGUGGAGAAGCAGUCAAAGUUUGGGCAAAGCCUCUCCAAAGUGUAUCCAAGCAAAACGGAGACUGCUAAAUUAGCUGGAAACUUCGUGAGAACUGGCUUCCUCACAAGGAAUUUGGUGCUCCUUUUAUUGAAAGGAUUUGAGCAUAAUUGGACCCAAGAUUUUCGGUAUUUACGACUUCCAGCUGGGUCGUAAAUACCACAAGAAGAGCUUUUUAAAUGGAAUUUGCACGUUUCUACCACUGGUCCCAUCAAGAAUCAGGUACAAAAAUGUAAACUAUAUGGGCGGUUUUGCAUCUUGUGGGUCAGAUCCUCAGGGUUUCUCCUUUCAAGUCACUGAGGAUCCGGUCCACUAGACUCAAGGCAACAAAGAAUUGGGCCCUGUUUUUGUUUAUAGAAGAAGUUUGUUCACAUUCAUCAGGCUCCAAAAAAAAAAGCAGGUGGGCUCAGUUUGAGUUUAUGCUGAAGGCUUGAAUGCUUUUUGUUAUUAUUACGCUACUCAAUCUAGUUUACCCUCCCUGGGUUUGAAUAACAAGCCAAAAGUUAUAAGACCAAUGAGAAGUAGCAAAGAAAACAAUUCCUGGGAGGAAAUGGGAAGGACCAUUUUAAAAAUCGCCUAAGCAAAGGUGAAUGAUGCCUGUAUCCUGGGACAUGGGUCCAAAGAAAGGACUCACAAAUGGACUUUGAGCCAAUUGCUCAGCUCCUAUAAAUCAGCGUUGUGCCACUGGUCCAACAAUGUCAAGAUCUGCAAUGCUGCUGUUAAACUUAAAAUAGAUUCCGAGGCAGAGACGGCUGCAAUUUGUAUGGAGACUUUGAAGGAGGGAGCCCAAAGUGGGAGCAUCCCAGGGCGGGGGAGGUUCAAUAUCCUAUGGAGACAGAUAAAUUUACAGGGUCAGGUCAAAGCUCUUGUUUGCUACAAAGGCAGGGAGGAUGCAUUUGAUACUUUUGGUGUCAAUAGGAUAACCAUAAGUAACCCCUUAGACUGAACAACAGCCACUGAAUCGGGCAUCCUCAAACUCUCAGAAACUGGGAUGGUGUAUGGCCAAAAUAAAAUAAAAUAAAAUAAAGGCCUUAAAGGAGAAGUUGUGCGGAUUCUAUUGAAAAACAGGGCUGUAGCUUAUCAGUCCAGCAUGCAGAGAAAACAACAAUCCUGCUGCUUCCCAAAGUGAAGGAAGAAAUGGGUAGGAUGAAAAAGAAUGGUAUAACAGUGCAGUACUGAAUUGACAGAGGCGUGUGCCUUAAUGGUGCCUGUUACAAGAAGAAUGGGCAUUUCCAUAUCUGUGAAGACCUACUGAGGCUCAGUGAAGCAGUAAGGAGAGAAAGUCAUAUUCUUUCCACCAUGGACGGUAUCGUCUCCAACUUCGCUGGUACAACAAUUUGGAGCUAAAAGUAGCUAACCUGUCAUCUAAAAACCAUUCUCUUUAUGAACUACUUUAAACAGAUUCUGUGUGGAUAAAGCACAGGAAUGCACUGAAGUAACUAAAGACUCUGUUGAUCUCAUCUCUAGUACUGCCAUUUUAUGAGCGUUUCAAGUCUACGGCACUUUUGGAAGACACAAACAACAAAGGUCUCAGUUACACCAAGAUGACUGGAAGCCUGUAGCAUAUUAUUCCAGAUGACUUUCAGAUGCUGAGACCAAGUAUGCCCAACUAGAGAGAAUGUUUGUCGACUGUAUGUGCAUGCAAAGAGAGCCACAAGAUAUUUGCAGGGUCUUAUCUAUAGGAAGCUUAUAACAGACUGCAAGCUACUCAUGCUAUUAAAAACAGUAAAAAGCCUAGAUAUACCUCCUAAGACGGCGCCUACAUUUUUUAAGAUUUAGAUCUAUUCGGAAUACUGCCUCAGCAAAGCCCCUGGUUGUGGCUGGCACUAUAUUUAAGAGCACCAUGGAUCACCCAGAUUUUCCAGAGGCUUGGUAUGAUAUAGAAGCUCAUGUGGGUGCCCUUUCGAGUGGUCUGCCAGGCUCACCACUGACAUUUAGAACUACUAGCAUUGAUAAACAACUAUAAACUGUAUCCAAUUUUAUAUGGAUGACCAGUCAGACCAGUUACUUGUCAGAGCAUCCUCACCCAGCAUGUGACUCCUAUGGAAUAAGAAGAGAACUCGUCAAAGCUGAAGGUCUGAUUAUCUAUGGCACAUGUACUCUAGUCCUUCAGUCUUUGCAGGAUGCUGUAUUAGAAAGGGUACCUAAGGGACUUCACAACAUGCUAGGAGCUGGUCCAAAUGCUGGUGUGGAGGCCCAGAGUAGGGCAGGUGCUGAACAACAAGGUAGAAUCCUGGGAUAACCAGAAAAAGCACAAGCCAAAGAACCCCUUGUACUCACAUAAUUAUCCAGAAGGGCUUGGAAACAAUAGCACCUGACCUGUGUGACAAAAAGGCGCCUACAUGUCUGGGAACCAUUGGUUAUUUUUCUAAAUUUGUGGAAAUUCUAUGUUUGAACAGGCACACAAGUCAAUGGGCCAUAGGAAUAUUAAAAGGCUUUUUUUUCCCCCUCAUUUUGGCAGUUUGGAAGAAAUUGUCUCUCUCAAUGGGGCCCUGCCCUGAAGUCCAAACUUUUGGGAUAAAAUAUUUCUUCCUAGUACUUCCAGCUCUCAUCACCCACGAGCAGAAGGACUCAGGGUGGUCUCUGAGGAGCAUAGAUUGUUAAGAGAAUUCUACAGCAAUAGGAUCCCACAUUAGCCCAGCUGUUCAUCUACAGGGGAAAACAUAUCAGUCACCAAGGUAAGUCCAUCUUUGCUCAACAGAUCAGAACAAUGCUACUAACCACAGAGGCAAAUCUUUGUCCUAGCAAGUGGUUGAGAGGCUGCUGGGAGAUGUGAGAUGCCUCAGGAUUUCCCCUUUAGCCUUUGGCAUACAGAUCAAAACUUACCCAAGCCUAAAUCAAGAGACCCAGUCCUGACAAAAAUGGAUAAGAAAAAAAACUGGACAUGACUAGCUGUUGCAGCUACACUCUGACAGUCUUCAUGGUAGAGGCUGAUCAAAGGGUUUAGCACAGAAAGAUACAGGCAGCAUCUUCAGCUCAUUGUGAAUGCAGCUGGAUCACCCUGUGAUCCCAGUAACCAUUGUA